GUAGUCUCGCACAGAUGCAUAUCAAUAAGCGGAGGAAAAGAAACUAACAAGGAUUCCCUCAGUAACGGCGAGUGAAGCGGGAAGAGCUCAAAUUUGAAAUCUUGAAAGGUCACCUUUCACGAAUUGUAGUUUAAAGAAGUGUUUUCUGUUACGAUCGUAAUAUAAGUUCUUUGGAAUAGGACAUCACAGAGGGUGAGAAUCCCGUCUAUGAUUGCGAUUUGUAGCUUUGUGAUACACUUUCAAAGAGUCGGGUUGUUUGGGAAUGCAGCCCAAAACGGGAGGUAAAUUUCUUCUAAGGCUAAAUAUUGGCGAGAGACCGAUAGCGAACAAGUACCGUGAGGGAAAGAUGAAAAGAACUUUGAAAAGAGAGUUAAAUAGUACGUGAAAUUGUCAAAAGGGAAGCGUUUAACACCAGUGUUGUUUUCUGAAAAUCAACCUCUGUUAGCUUUAUGCAUGUUUGUUUAGACCUAAUCAGCUAUCUUGCAUGUUCUAUUGUUUGCAGUGGUGCACUUUUCAGUUUACAGGUCAACAUCAGUUUUUUUUACCGUAAAAAAGUUAAAGAAAGGUAGCUCAUGGCUCCGGUCGUGAGUGUUAUAGUCUUUUUCCUAUGCGGUAGGAGAGACUGAGGUCUGCAGUGUAGGCUAUUUGGCUAGAUACUCAGGUGCUAUGUGAUACCAUUUCAUAAACAACUUGUUGAUUAUGUUUUGUCUAUUGCAUACUCGCUUGUACUAUCAUACCUACGCUUAGGAUGUUGAAGAUGUAGCACAUCAU
rnacentral:rRNA from 1 species